rnacentral:rRNA from 1 species
AAGUCCGCUACGAGCGCAACCCUCGUCGUGUGUUAUACGUGUCACACGAUACUGCCGGUAGUCAAGCCGGAGGAAGGUGGGGAUGAUGUCAAGUCAGCAUGGCCUUUAUAUCCUGGGCUACACACACGCUACAAUGGCAGAUACAAUAGGUUGCGAAACCGCGAGGUGGAGCCAAUCCUCAAAGUCUGUCUCAGUUCAGAUUGUAGGCUGCAACUCGCCUGCAUGAAGUUGGAGUUGCUAGUAAACGCAGGUCAGCUAUACUGCGUUGAAUACGUUCCCGGGCCUU